AGCGAACGCUGGCGGCAGGCCUAACACAUGCAAGUCGAACGGAUCCUUCGGGAUUAGUGGCGGACGGGUGAGUAACACGUGGGAACGUGCCCUUUGGUUCGGAACAACUCAGGGAAACUUGAGCUAAUACCGGACGUGCCCUUCGGGGGAAAGAUUUAUCGCCAUUGGAGCGGCCCGCGUCUGAUUAGCUAGUUGGUGAGGUAAAGGCUCACCAAGGCGACGAUCAGUAGCUGGUCUGAGAGGAUGAUCAGCCACAUUGGGACUGAGACACGGCCCAAACUCCUACGGGAGGCAGCAGUGGGGAAUCUUGCGCAAUGGGCGAAAGCCUGACGCAGCCAUGCCGCGUGAAUGAUGAAGGUCUUAGGAUUGUAAAAUUCUUUCACCGGGGACGAUAGUGACGGUACCCGGAGAAGAAGCCCCGGCUAACUUCGUGCCAGCCGCCGCGGUAA
rnacentral:rRNA from 1 species